rnacentral:rRNA from 1 species
GCGAACGCUGGCGGCAGGCCUAACACAUGCAAGUCGAACGAACCUUUCGGGGUUAGUGGCGGACGGGUGAGUAACACGUGGGAACGUGCCUUUAGGUUCGGAAUAACUCAGGGAAGCUUGUGCUAAUACCGAAUGUGCCCUUCGGGGGAAAGAUUAAUCGCCUUUAGAGCGGCCCGCGUCUGAUUAGCUAGUUGGUUGAGGUAAUGGCUCACCAAGGCGACGAUCAGUAGCUGGUCUGAGAGGAUGAUCAGCCACAUUGGGACUGAGACACGGCCCAAACUCCUACGGGAGGCAGCAGUGGGGAAUCUUGCGCAAUGGGCGAAAGCCUGACGCAGCCAUGCCGCGUGAAUGAUGAAGGUCUUAGGAUUGUAAAAUUCUUUCACCGGGGACGAUAAUGACGGUACCCGGAGAAGAAGCCCCGGCUAACUUCGUG